AGUGACCCAGCCCCGGUGGCCGAAUGGGUAACGCGGCCACCAGAUAGCGCCUUGGCAUGGGGACCCAAGGCGCAUGGGUUCGAAACCUACGGAGUACUCCGUACAGGAGACAACAUCUCAGCUUCUAAAAUAAUGUGAUGUGAACUUGUCAAGUAGGUACCUUCGGGCGGACCUACUACCUGAUUUAGCUUAUUGUUUCUGGGCUGGAAAUCUGUAUUGCAUGUACCAAAUCCUGUCUUUCAUUAAUUUUCCUAUGUUCUUGUUAUAUUCUUGGCGCUGUUCAACACUAAGCAUUCCUCUGGUAGGACUCGUCAUAAGCGCUGCUUGCAUACGAGUAUAAACUAAUUCCUUUUUCUUGAAGAGGUUUCCUAGGAUGAUCUGGAAUGGCUUUUCGGUAUCUCAGGGAUCAAGCCAAAUAAUAUUGUAGUCAAUCAGGGCCAUCCAUUGAACUUUUCAUCCUGGGCGAUUGUAGGUUUGAUUGAUAUUUAACUUCUGGAUUCGCCGUCGUUGGCCGGGAUGGUGGCAGUUAUAGAACUACAUUACGUCUGCCGCUUUUAUUUACAGGGCUAGUGCUUGCGACUAUUUUUAUAUUCUUCUCUCUGACUUUCCCGAAAGUGGAAUUUCCAAGCUGGUGGGGAAAUAGUGUGUUAAAUGAGACUCUCGUAAGAGAAACUUGGUUUUGAUGGGUCGGCUGAAAUGAGACUGACGAGUUUUCCGUCCUCUACUCUCUCAGGAUUAUUCUUAUAAAGCAACGCUGAAAGCAGGGCGCGAGAGUGAGAAGUUUGAUCCAACCACUUGUAAAUUGUGAAGGGUUAAAUAAGAG
rnacentral:sRNA from 1 species